rnacentral:lncRNA from 1 species
UUCAGAUAUUUUUAACUUAUUUUAAAUGGUUUGAGAAAUGUUGCUUUGUUAGUUUGUCUGCUUUCAAUGAGGAUGUGAAUUUAGAGGAGUGAAGAUGAAAACUGUUAUUUGCGAGCGGUAUUGAUGGUUGGUUGCAGCAUGCGGGAUUUAAGUAAGAAUUGGAGAAAAUAUAUUUGGAGAAUGAAGGUUGAGUUUGCUUUUCUUAAAGGGACGUUGGAUUAGAAUUUUGUUAAAGAAAGGUUGGAGGUUACCAUGCACCUGGACCAGUAGCAGGAGCAGAGCAGUCAGCAGGACUCUUGUACCUAAAUUAAAAGGAGAAGUAAUUGAAGUUUUAUGUUGGCCACCAGGGAUGAAGUUGGUAUAUGGUAAGGUUUU